rnacentral:rRNA from 1 species
GGGCCCGCACAAGCAGCGGAGCAUGUGGUUUAAUUCGAAGCAACGCGAAGAACCUUACCAGGGCUUGACAUCGUCUGAAAAAUCUGGAAACAGAAAAUACUCUUCGGAGGCAGAUAGACAGGUGGUGCAUGGUUGUCGUCAGCUCGUGUCGUGAGAUGUUGGGUUAAGUCCCGCAACGAGCGCAACCCUUGUCCUUAGUUACCAGCAAGUAAAGUUGGGGACUCUAGGGAGACUGCCGGGGAUAACUCGGAGGAAGGUGGGGACGACGUCAAAUCAUCAUGCCCCUUAUGUCCUGGGCUACACACGUGCUACAAUGGCCGUCAACAAAGGGCAGCGAAGCCGCAAGGUGGAGCGAAUCUCAAAAACACGGUCCCAGUUCGGAUUGUGGGCUGCAACCCGCCACAUGAAGUCGGAGUUGCUAGUAAUCGCGAAUCAGCAUGUCG